rnacentral:rRNA from 1 species
UGGGGAAUAUUGCACAAUGGGCGCAAGCCUGAUGCAGCCAUGCCGCGUGUAUGAAGAAGGCCUUCGGGUUGUAAAGUACUUUCAGCGGGGAGGAAGGGAGUAAAGUUAAUACCUUUGCUCAUUGACGUUACCCGCAGAAGAAGCACCGGCUAACUCCGUGCCAGCAGCCGCGGUAAUACGGAGGGUGCAAGCGUUAAUCGGAAUUACUGGGCGUAAAGCGCACGCAGGCGGUUUGUUAAGUCAGAUGUGAAAUCCCCGGGCUCAACCUGGGAACUGCAUCUGAUACUGGCAAGCUUGAGUCUCGUAGAGGGGGGUAGAAUUCCAGGUGUGGCGGUGAAAUGCGUAGAGAUCUGGAGGAAUACCGGUGGCGAAGGCGGCCCCCUGGACGAAGACUGACGCUCAGGUGCGAAAGCGUGGGGAGCAAACA